rnacentral:lncRNA from 1 species
ACAAUUUACAAACUUACUUUCGCAACGAAGAAGACGAAUACGACAACCAAGAUCAGUGAAAUUACCUAAACAAAAAAGCAGAGUAAGUUACGAAUUCUGAUAAAUACAACUAACAAUGAUUUUUGUUUGCAUAUUACCCAUCAAAUAAAAGAUAAACAAACACAACCACAACAGAAGAUACAAGAGACAAUCCCGACAGAUACAAAGGCGACAACAACAGGUCCACCUGCUCACUCCUCUUGUCUUAUAAAAAUAGCUUACAUAUCCAAUGUCAACAGGCCAAUGCUAUUGUCUUCUUACGAGAAAAUAUAAAUUCGUUUAAAACUCAUUAAAGUCCAAAUACUCAUUAAAGUCCAAAUACUCAGAACUGUCACUCAUUUUAUAGUUAUUUCUACAAGUCUUCAUGUAUUUGUUUUAAAGGUCCGGUAAGAGCAACAAGUUUAAAAAUAAAAUAAAAACAUAUAACAAACAUAAUAAGGAUCAUAAAAAUUAUUACUUAAUACACACAACUUACACAACUAAACUGGAGAAAAAAAUAUCCAGAAACAAAAGGUACUCUCAACAACUUUAAUAUAAUUUAUGUACUCUCAACAGUACAAGAAACAAAUUAAAAAGACAAACAAACAAUAAGUCUCUGUGACUCAA